UGGGGAAUAUUGCACAAUGGGGGAAACCCUGAUGCAGCGACGCCGCGUGAGUGAGGAAGUAUUUCGGUAUGUAAAACUCUAUCAGCAGGGAAGAUAAUGACGGUACCUAAAUAAGAAGCCCCGGCUAACUACGUGCCAGCAGCCGCGGUAAUACGUAGGGGGCAAGCGUUAUCCGGAAUUACUGGGUGUAAAGGGUGGGUAGGCGGCAUGGCAAGUAAGAUGUGAAAGCCCGGGGCUUAACUCCGGGAUUGCAUUUUAAACUGCUGAGCUGGAGUACAGGAGAGGAAAGCGGAAUUCCUAGUGUAGCGGUGAAAUGCGUAGAUAUUAGGAAGAACACCAGUGGCGAAGGCGGCUUUCUGGACUGGAAACUGACGCUGAGGCACGAAAGCGUGGGGAGCGAACAGGAUUAGAUACCCUGGUAGU
rnacentral:rRNA from 1 species